GGGAAGCCAUUCCCGGCAGUGGAUCUGGCUGCAGAACCCUUAUCACUUAUGUGGAUUCUUGGUUUUCACUAUUUUACAGGGCUACUUGCCUUAGGUUUCGUUUGAAUCCUUAAAGCAGCAGAAGGGAGCCAUCCCGGAGCACUGCCAAAACAGCAAAAACCGUGCAGCGACUGACUUUCGCCAAAGUUCGAUGGUGUUCCCUUAUGAUGAAGAGCGAAAUUAAAGUCAGAGUCCACAACAAGUGGAAGAGAAUAAAGUUUAAACUGAGAAAAA